rnacentral:rRNA from 1 species
GGACUACAGGGGUUUCUAAUCCUGUUCGCUCCCCUAGCUUUCGCACCUGAGCGUCAGAAACUUGCCAGGAGACUGCCUUCGCCUUCGGUGUUCCUCCGGAUCUCUACGCAUUUCACCGCUCCACCCGGAAUUCCGUCUCCCCCUCAAGUUCUCAAGUCCACCAGUUUUCGAAGACCUUUCCCAGUCAAGCCGGAAACUGUCACUCCGAACUUGGUAGACCGCCUGCGCGCGCUUUACGCCCAGUAACUCCGGACAACGCUUGCCCCCUACGUAUUACCGCGGCUGCUGGCAC